rnacentral:rRNA from 1 species
UACAGAGGGUGCGAGCGUUGUCCGGAAUCACUGGGCGUAAAGGGCGCGUAGGCGGCGGGGUAAGCGUGGGGUGAAAGCUCGGAGCUCAACUCCGAGUCGGCCUUGCGAACUGCUUCGCUGGAGCAUGUCAGAGGCAGGCGGAAUUCCGGGUGUAGCGGUGGAAUGCGUAGAGAUCCGGAAGAACACCGGUGGCGAAGGCGGCCUGCUGGGACAUGGCUGACGCUGAGGCGCGACAGCGUGGGGAGCAAACAGG